rnacentral:rRNA from 1 species
CACGUAGUUAGCCGGGGCUUCUUAGUCAGGUACCGUCUUGUCUCGUUCCUGCUGAUAGAGCUUUACAUACCGAAAUACUUCUUCACUCACGCGGCGUCGCUGCAUCAGGGCUUCCCCCAUUGUGCAAUAUUCCCCACUGCUGCCUCCCGUAGGAGUUUGGGCCGUGUCUCAGUCCCAAUGUGGCCGUCCACCCUCUCAGGCCGGCUACUGAUCGUCGCUUUGGUAGGCCGUUACCCUGCCAACUGGCUAAUCAGACGCGGGUCCAUCCCAUACCACCGGAGUUUUUCACACAGGAGCAUGCGCUCCCGUGCGCUUAUGCGGUAUUAGCACCUGUUUCCAGGUGGUAUCCCCCGGUAUGGGGCAGGUUACCCACGCGUUACUCACCCGUCCGCCACUAAGAUACUCAUUUCCAAAGUGCAAGCACUCCUUCCAUAAGCAUCCCCGUUCGACUUGCAUGUGUUAAGCACGCCGCCAGCGUUCAUCCUGAGCCAGGAUCAAACU